rnacentral:rRNA from 1 species
GACGAACGCUGGCGGCGUGCUUAACACAUGCAAGUCGAACGAAGAGCGAUGGAAGCUUGCUUCUAUCAAUCUUAGUGGCGCACGGGUGAGUAACGCGUAAUCAACCUGCCCUUCAGAGGGGGACAACAGUUGGAAACGACUGCUAAUACCGCAUACGAUCUAAUCUCGGCAUCGAGGAUAGAUGAAAGGUGGCCUCUACAUGUAAGCUAUCACUGAAGGAGGGGAUUGCGUCUGAUUAGCUAGUUGGAGGGGUAACGGCCCACCAAGGCGAUGAUCAGUAGCCGGUCUGAGAGGAUGAACGGCCACAUUGGGACUGAGACACGGCCCAGACGCCUACGGGAGGCAGCAGUGGGGAAUCUUCCGCAAUGGACGAAAGUCUGACGGAGCAACGCCGCGUGAGCGAUGACGGCCUUCGGGUUGUAAAGCUCUGUUAAUCGGGACGAAAGGCCUUCUUGCGAAUAGUGAGAAGGAUUGACGGUACCGGAAUAGAAAGCCACGGCUAACUACGUG